rnacentral:rRNA from 1 species
UACAGAGGUCCCAAGCGUUGUUCGGAUUCACUGGGCGUAAAGGGUGCGUAGGUGGCGAGGUAAGUCGGAUGUGAAAUCUCCGAGCUCAACUCGGAAAUGGCAUUGGAAACUACCUUGCUCGAGGGUUGGAGGGGGGACUGGAAUACUUGGUGUAGCAGUGAAAUGCGUAGAUAUCAAGUGGAACACCAGUGGCGAAGGCGAGUCCCUGGACAACUCCUGACACUGAGGCACGAAAGCUAGGGGAGCAAACAGGA